GAUGAAGAACUCAGCGAAAUGCGAUAAGUAAUGUGAAUUGCAGAAUUCAGUGAAUCAUCGAAUCUUUGAACGCACCUUGCACCCUUUGGCAUUCUGAAGGGUAUGCUCGUUUGAGUGUCAUUGUACUCUCACACUCCCGAUCUUUGCAUUGGGAGCAGUGGACUUGGGUUUGCUGCUUCACCGUCGCUUACCUCAAAUAGGUUAGUGCAACUCUUGGUUGGACAUAGUACGGCGUGAUAAGUGUUCUUCGCCGGUGCCUCGCAAAGAGGGUGGCCGAUCGGGAUGUUGUGCUCCAAACCGUCUUCGGACAAUCUCUGACGACUUGACCUCAAAUCGAGUAAGACUACCCGCUGAACUUAAGCAUAUCAAUAAGCGGAGGA
rnacentral:misc_RNA from 1 species